rnacentral:ncRNA from 1 species
UUAAAGGCUAUGACGGAGUAAAGUAACCUAUUUAUUACCUUUCAGGGAGGAAGAGUCUCGACUGUAAACUCUUCUACGUGUAGUGAUAGAUGAAGUUCCCUCCCGAGCUGCCGGCUGAACGUUUUAUAUAGUAGGCUUGGACGGUUCUUCACCGUUAACAAGAAGGGGGUAUCGGAUAUCAAUUCCCGUACCUUUGUCGAGUGGCCUUUUUUGGCUUAAGUUGGGUGGUAACGCGAGAUACAGCAUCUCGUCCCUUCA